AGAGAAUAAAUGAAAGAACCCAAGGUGGACAGAAACUGAUAAUGAGACUGAUGAAAUGAUAGCAGCUGGAACAGAGGGCAAGAGAAAAUUAAAUCAAUUCACUCCGCCUAAUCCACCGUUGCUUACCGUUCCACAUUGUAGGAGUCCUACAAAUAGAUCUUUGUCAGGCAUGAUGAAGUCUGCACUCCCAGGCAACAUUCCACAUCCAUUCACUGACUAGACGUGGUGGCUGUAGCAGGCACAUUGCAACCUUGAAGAAAAGGCCAGGAAUGCCUCAGUGUCCUCAGCCUUGUCCACCUCCAGACUUCUGACUUCAUGAAGGAAAACAAAUAAACAAGGACUUCUAAUCAUUUGGUGGAAUUGACAGGAUUUCUGUUACCCACAGCCAAAUGCAAUCCUAACUAUUCAGAGAACCAGUACAAAAUGCUAAUAAUGAUCAAUAAGUGGUUCUAACUGAUAAGAAAUGCUUGGGAGGUUGAAAUAUGGUAAAUUUUUAGCAUUCUUGGGAAUAUCUUCUUUCUCUUUUAACAUGGAAUUCCAUUGUUCAACUUCAGUGUUGAAGGAAUAA